GGGGAAGUAGCUCAGGAGUUUACUCAAUGGUUAGAGCGGUGGUUUACCACAAGGUCAGCGGUUCGAAUCCGUUCUUCCCCA
rnacentral:tRNA from 1 species